UCUCCGUAGGUGAACCUGCGGAGGGAUCAUUACAGAGUUCUCGCCCUCGCGGGUCUAUCUCUCACCCACUGUGAUCGUUACUGUCGUUUCUUUGGCCGGCCGCCCGUUCCCCGGCCGUCUGCGUCUAAUAGUCGGCGCGCGCCCGCCAGAUUCCUUCGAACCCUUACUUUUAGUGUCGUCUUAGUUCUAUAUAAUAGUUAAAACUUUUAACAAUGGAUCUCUUGGUUCUGGUAUCGCUUAAGAAAGCAGCAGAACUGGAUAGCACACCGCUGAACUCCC
rnacentral:misc_RNA from 1 species